AACCCAUGAUUUUUGGCCACCUUUGACUAUAUUGUUCGAACCGCUCCCACGCUUCAUAGAGUUGUUCCCCAGGUACCUAUUUAAAAUGAAAGAUUUUGUCUCUCAACUC